rnacentral:lncRNA from 1 species
UUUGAUUUUAUUUAUUUAUUUUUUAUAUUGUAUUUAGUUUAAAGUUAUUAUUAUUUAAAGAAAAAAAGUUCGGAUCAAACCGAAUUGAUUUAAGAUUGCAGUUCUUUCGGAUUACAACAGUUUUUAUUGGAAUCAAAGUCUGAGCUUGAAUUGAAAAUGAAAUUGAAACUCUUUUCGAUCAAGAGUUCUGAUGAAUUUGAAACAAAAUCCCUAUAAAUUCAGCACCAUAGUUUCAUGAAGGGGAGGAGAGUCUCCGCUAAAGCCAAAUCCUGCAACAAUUUUCACCCUCAUUGUCCACCAAUAAUCACCAUAAACACAGACUCGAUAAGAGCACGACCAAAACUCAGCAAUUGUUCAUCAGCCAAAAAAAACCCAUCAGAAUUCAGCAAUAAACCAAAACAGCUCUGAAAAUCCAGGCAAUCAACCGCCGUGUGAACAGUACCAUAAUCAGAAGCAAUUUCCGGAAUUCAGACCAGAAUCAAGGAAAGCAAACAUUUUUCUGCAAACCAUAGCCACAAGCAGACAAAGGGAAAGCUAAUCAUCAGUUAGUCCAAGCAAAGAAAUCCAAAUUUAAAACAAAAGAAACCCAUUUUCAGGCAAAAACGAACCCAUCACAAAUUCUUCUAGAUAACCCAUAAAUAGUCUCCUGCAAUUGAAAGCCGAACCCAUAGAAAAUCAAACACAAACCUAACCAAGUAACCCACACCCAAAGCCAAACCUAGAAUCAGAAAACAAGCAGAUAAGUAGAAAACUUGCAACAAAGUCACAGCAAGCAAGCACAAUUACAAAGUAUAACACAGUGGUGUUUCGAUGGAGUUGUUGGUCUCAAGUUUUAGGCUUUGAAUAUGUUUGGGUUUUCUUUUUGAAGUUAGACGAUAAAGAGGAUUAGGAAGUGGAGAGAAAUCGGUUAAGGGUUUUCUGGCGACGUCACGAUUCACAGGUGUUCUGGUUUUUUUAUGAGAAAGUAGGUAGUGGCUGGGUUUGAUUGUGGUUUCAGGUAGCUGAGAGAAAAAGAAAGAGGAGGAGGAAGCCCGGUGGUGGCAAACGUCAGUCUUUGGGUUAGUUUGAUAGAAAAAUGGAAGAGGAAGAAUCUGUUUUGUAUGAUGGCAGAAAACAAAGGAAGCAAGAGAGGUGGAUUUUGAUUUUGGAAUUAAAUCCGUGUCCUUGGUUUCCGGCGACGAUCUGCGGCAGCGCACGGUGGUCAGAGAUGGCCGGGAUCUGGGAAAGCUUGAACCCAGCGGGUGUUAUAAAGGUUUUUGGUUUCUGGAAGACUUUGUAGCGAGAAGACACAGUAGAAAAGUUUGUACAGAGAGAAAGCAACUGUGAAAAAUGAAAGAGAGGCCGUGUGUGCUUGAAACGGCAUCGUUUUUGGGCAAUAGGAGGAACCGGUUCAUUCGACUCGCUCCAAGCUCCACUCCUUGUGACCUGAUCGGAGUCCAACCUAACUGAAAUAAUUUAUUCUGGCCCGCAUGAAGAAAUUUCAAGCCCAGUUCUUAUUCAAGCUUAGAUCAGAAUUUUGCUUGGACCAUUAAAAACUCAAUUUUUUUGGACUUCAAUCUGGACUUAGUCUAAUUGGCAAAAUUUUUAUUUUCUGCUUUCAUUUAUCUUGUG